GACAAACGCUGGCGGCGUGCCUAAUACGUGCAAGUCGAGCGGAUCUUCAUUAGCUUGCUUUUGAAGAUCAGCGGCGGACGGGUGAGUAACACGUGGGCAACCUGCCUGUAAGACUGGGAUAACUUCGGGAAACCGGAGCUAAUACCGGAUAAAUCCUUUUCCUCUCAGGAGGAAAAGCUGAAAGACGGUUUCGGCUGUCACUUACAGAUGGGCCCGCGGGGCAUUAGCUGGUUGGUGGGGUAACGGCCCACCAAGGCGACGAUGCGUAGCUGGUCUGAGAGGACGAUCAGCCACACUGGGACUGAGACACGGCCCAGACUCCUACGGGAGGCAGCAGUGGGGAAUCUUGCGCAAUGGGCGAAAGCCUGACGCAGCAACGCCGCGUGAGGGAAGAAGGCCUUCGGGUUGUAAACCUCUUUCAGAGGGGACGAAGCCUCCGGGGUGAAUAGCCCACGGGGUGACGGUACCCUCAGAAGAAGCCCCGGCUAACUACGUGCCAGCCGCCGCCGUAACAC
rnacentral:rRNA from 1 species